rnacentral:rRNA from 1 species
GCACAAGCAGCGGAGCGUGUGGUUUAAUUCGAUUGUUACACGAAGAACCUUACCAGGGUUUUGACAUGCAAGUGGUAGGAAGCCGAAAGGUGACCCGACCCUUCGGGGAGCUUGCACAGGUGCUGCAUGGCUGUCGUCAGCUCGUGUCGUGAGAUGUUCGGUUAAGUCCGCUAACGAGCGCAACCCUCGCUGUGUGUUAUAUGUGUCACACGGGACUGCCGGUCUUAAGCCGGAGGAAGGUGGGGAUGAUGUCAAGUCAGCAUGGCCUUUAUAUCCAGGGCUACACACACGCUACAAUGGUCUGUACAAUGGGUAGCCAAGCCGCGAGGCGGAGCCAAUCCUGAAAGCAGGCCUCAGUUCAGAUUGCAGUCUGCAACUCGACUGCAUGAAGCCGGAGUUGCUAGUAACCGCAGGUCAGCAAUACUGCGGUGAAUACGUUCCCGGGUCUU